AAUAGAUACCCGGGUAGUCCAUGCCGUAAACGUUGGGCACUAGGUGUGGGGGGCAUUCCACGUUCUCCGCGCCGUAGCUAACGCAUUAAGUGCCCCGCCUGGGGAGUACGGCCGCAAGGCUAAAACUCAAAGGAAUUGACGGGGGCCCGCACAAGCGGCGGAGCAUGCGGAUUAAUUCGAUGCAACGCGAAGAACCUUACCAAGGCUUGACAUACACCGGACACGCCUGGAAACAGGUGCUCCUCUUUUGGGGCUGGUGUACAGGUGGUGCAUGGUUGUCGUCAGCUCGUGUCGUGAGAUGUUGGGUUAAGUCCCGCAACGAGCGCAACCCUCGUUCUAUGUUGCCAGCACGUGAUGGUGGGAACUCAUAGGAGACUGCCGGGGUCAGCUCGGAGGAAGGUGGGGAUGACGUCAAAUCAUCAUGCCCUUUAUGUCUUGGGCUUCACGCAUGCUACAAUGGCUGGUACAAAGAGUGGCGAACCUGUGAGGUGAGCGAAUCCCUUAAAGCCAGUCUCAGUUCGGAUCGU
rnacentral:rRNA from 1 species